rnacentral:rRNA from 1 species
GAUGAACGCUGGCGGCGUGCCUAAUACAUGCAAGUCUAGCGAACGGACGAGAAGCUUGCUUCUCUGAUGUUAGCGGCGGACGGGUGAGUAACACGUGGAUAACCUACCUAUAAGACUGGGAUAACUUCGGGAAACCGGAGCUAAUACCGGAUGAUAUUUUGAACCGCAUGGUUCAAAAGUGAAAGACGGUCUUGCUGUCACUUAUAGAUGGAUCCGCGCUGCAUUAGCUAGUUGGUAAGGUAACGGCUUACCAAGGCAACGAUGCAUAGCCGACCUGAGAGAGUGAUCGGCCACACUGGAACUGAGACACGGUCCAGACUCCUACGGGAGGCAGCAGUAGGGAAUCUUCCGCAAUGGGCGAAAGCCUGACGGAGCAACGCCGCGUGAGUGAUGAAGGUCUUCGGAUCGUAAAACUCUGCUAUUAGGGAAGAACAUAUGUGUAAGUAACUGUGCACAUCUUGACGGUACCUAAUCAGAAAGCCACGGCUAACUACGUG